rnacentral:sRNA from 1 species
GGCUGUAGUAGUUUUCAAAUCGGCCUGUUGCAUUUAGUACCUGAUGUGUUGUACGUAUAUCAUGACGUAGUAGCGCAUCCGUUGUAUUUUUCUCGUUUCGUUUGUCGUUUUUAUCGCCGUUGCAACGUAAACGUAGUCUCCUACUCUGUUGUUUUACAAUUUUUCGUUAUUAAAGUCAAGUACAAAACAACAACAAAAACAGGAAAAUAAAUAAAGUUAUUCGAAAGCUAAACAACAAAAUCUGGAUAAAAAAUACAUACCAACAUAUUGUUGUGUAUAUUAAACAAAAAUCAGAAACAAAAAGCUUAAAUGCCCUAAAACCUAUGAAACCAUUUAAAAUUCAAAUGAAAACAAGAAACGAAACUUAAGUGGAAAAUGAUUAAAAAAGAAAACCAGAAAAUGAAAAUCUUAAACGAAUUUUGUAUGUAAGUGCUACUUGUGUGCAAUUCUUAAGUGUUGGCAAACAAAUAAUCUGCAAUAACUACAACUACACAAAACAAGAACAACAAACGGCUAAGAAACCACAAAAACGUUCUAAGCCCUUUUGGAACAAAAAAAAAAAAAACGGCAUAGCCAUCAUCAUCAUCAUCGUCAACACACUGCCAUCGCCACCUUCCCUAGCGUAGCAGUAGCCGCAGCAGCAACAACAUUGCCAGCUAAACAUCACACGAAGCGUAAAUGCUAACGUAAAGACCUGCCAAAAGCUAAGCGUUUUAAAGUUUUUCGUUUUCGCUUGCAAAGUUCAUGCAAACCCCUACUGGACGCUACCAGAGAGUGUGGCUCAACUAUUUUCCCUUGAAUGUUACACUGAGUGCCGCUGCUGCCCAUUCAGUCAGCAGUCAACCAAAAAUUACAGCCGCAACAUCUAUCCCAGGUCCCCAUGGAUUAAAUUUCACCUGAUUUUUUUUCUUUGCAUUGUUUUUGCACUCUUGUUCUCGAGCGACGGCUUCCAUUGCUGCGUUCUUUCUUCCUGUUGCAUUAACGGGCCGAAGAGGAACAGCAAGCACCAAACAACAACGAAUUGGCGGACAGACAGGCAUACGGACAUAUGUACGUUACGUAUUGCCACCUUUCGUCUAUAAUUAUACUCAACGUGAUCACGAGCUCACACCAACAAUACCAGGUUCAAAACCCAAAGCGUCAACAGCAACAACAAUAACAGCAAACUACACAAGAAGAGGAAGCAUAAAACAACAAUCACAUCACUUCCAUCUUUUGCUUUACCAAAGCAAAAAAAGCUGUGAACUUAAAAUUUCAACAUAAAUCUUUGGCAAAAGAAAAAAAUAUUCUCCAAAAAGAAAAAAAAAAACCAGACCAGAUAAAGACCAAAGCAAAACAAAGGCUCCAUAAACCAAAGGUUUUUGGGCAACUAACGAGCAGCCAGCCUUCCAGCCCCCAAAAAGAAAAAAAAUCAUUGCAACAAUUGUCUGCUGGCCACAAGGAUCGUUUUAAUAUCUUGCCUGGCGUGGAGUGUGAUCUGGAGAACAAAACAACCCAAAAGGCCAGCAACACACAAAACAUUGACGCCAAAAAGGCCGGCCAUAACUUCUGCAACCGAGCCAGGGUCCACGUUCAGGUUCGAAACCUUCAUUGAAGCUGUUGCGCCUGCGCAGCUCCCAACCAUUGUUGACCAAUCGGCAUUAUCAUUAUCUUUGUGCAUCGUCUUCCAUAUUAUCGUUCGAGAGGGCAACCAGGGAAGCUAGAGAGAGAGGAGCACUGAAACGUAAAUAAAAUCCAGUUUUAUUUACCUCUUUACGCUCUUCCCCCAGACACUUUGCAACCUGGUCACCAGAAACAUCGACACAUUCACAUUUCUCAACAACAGAUCGUGCAACAAUUCCUCUGUGUGUGUGUGUUGCAUGCAGCCUUUCUUUAUGCGCAUGCUCAACUAACUGCUUGUUUGCUGGAAUACCACUUCAAAAAAAAGCUGAACCUAAGCUGACAGGGGAUCCCAAAGAACCUUUUCUUAUUUUUGCCUGAUUCUGUUUUAGCCACAUCUUCGUAAGCAAACGUCAAAACGUCCAUUGCCAUUACCAUUCAUUGCCUGUGGUGGUAUUGAGGCGCAUUCUAAACCAGCGAUCGAGGGAGCCAAGCAUUUCAUUACCAUUGAAAAUAAAAUCCCUGGUGGUGAUUAUCAACAUCAUCAUCAUCAUUAGCAUCAUCAUUAUGGAGUUCAUCAUGUGGCCCAUAAGAAUAUAAGAGCAAAACAAAAUCAAAAAUAAGAAACAAAAAACUCACAAUAGCCAGCGUAAAGGAGUAUCCUCGACUUGUAAUUAUUGUUGGCUAGCUGGCCAAAACAAAAAUCGAGAAAAAGAAAAACUGCCUCCGUAUUGUUACCAACAGCAACAACAACAACUCACAUCCACAUCAUUUCAAGUCCACUUCGAGCUACCAAAUCGUCAUCAUCUUCAACAUAGCCGCCAACGUCAUCGUUGUCUGCCAUAGUCUUCGUCGUCGCCGUUGUUGCCGCCACCGCCUUCGUGUUCCUAUGCACGCGGCCUUCUCAUAUUGAAUUCAACAAGUUUCUGUUCCUGCUUCUUCUCAACUCAACUCGACUCGUUUAUCGAUUGUUUUUUUUUUGGUUUUUGAUUUUUCUUGGACGUUGAAAACUCGUAGACAUGGCGCCGAAAUCCAGAAAGAAGAAGGCUCACGGUAAGUUUAAAAUUUGGUAUU